CCUACGGGAGGCAGCAGUGAGGAAUAUUGGUCAAUGGACGAGAGCCUGAACCAGCCAAGUAGCGUGAAGGAUGACUGCCCUAUGGGUUGUAAACUUCUUUUAUAAAGGAAUAAAGUUCGGCACGUAUGCCUUUUUGUAUGUACUUUAUGAAUAAGGAUCGGCUAACUCCGUGCCAGCAGCCGCGGUAAUACGGAGGAUCCGAGCGUUAUCCGGAUUUAGUGGGUUUAAAGGGAGCGUAGGUGGAUUGUUAAGUCAGUGGUGAAAGUUUGCGGCUCAACCGUAAAAUUGCAAUUGAUACUGGCAGUCUUGAGUACAGUUGAGGUAGGCGGAAUUCGUGGUGUAGCGGUGAAAUGCUUAGAUAUCACGAAGAACUCCGAUUGAGAAGGCAGCUUACUAAACUGCCACUGACAUUGAUGCUCGAAAGUGUGGGUAUCAAACAGGAUUAGAUACCCGAGUAGUC
rnacentral:rRNA from 1 species